GACGAACGCUGGCGGCGUGCCUAACACAUGCAAGUCGAGCGAGUGAAUCUCCUUCGGGAGUGAAGCUAGCGGCGGACGGGUGAGUAACACGUGGGCAACCUGCCUCAUAGAGGGGAAUAGCCUUUCGAAAGGAAGAUUAAUACCGCAUAAGAUUGUAGCUUCGCAUGAAGUAGCAAUUAAAGGAGCAAUCCGCUAUGAGAUGGGCCCGCGGCGCAUUAGCUAGUAGGUGAGGUAACGGCUCACCAAGGCGACGAUGCGUAGCCGACCUGAGAGGGUGAUCGGCCACAUUGGGACUGAGACACGGCCCAGACUCCUACGGGAGGCAGCAGUGGGGAAUAUUGCACAAUGGGGGAAACCCUGAUGCAGCAACGCCGCGUGAGUGAUGACGGCCUUCGGGUUGUAAAGCUCUGUCUUCAGGGACGAUAAUGACGGUACCCGGAGAAGAAGCUCCGGCUAACUUCGUGCCAGCCGCCGCAGUAAUAC
rnacentral:rRNA from 1 species